rnacentral:rRNA from 1 species
GACGAACGCUGGCGGCGUGCUUAACACAUGCAAGUCGAACGGAAAGGCCCUGCUUUUGUGGGGUGCUCGAGUGGCGAACGGGUGAGUAACACGUGAGUAACCUGCCCUUGACUUUGGGAUAACUUCAGGAAGCUGGGGCUAAUACCGGAUAGGAGCUCCUGCUGCAUGGUGGGGGUUGGAAAGUUUCGGCGGUUGGGGAUGGACUCGCGGCUUAUCAGCUUGUUGGUGGGGUAGUGGCUUACCAAGGCUUUGACGGGUAGCCGGCCUGAGAGGGUGACCGGCCACAUUGGGACUGAGAUACGGCCCAGACUCCUACGGGAGGCAGCAGUGGGGAAUAUUGCACAAUGGGCGGAAGCCUGAUGCAGCAACGCCGCGUGCGGGAUGACGGCCUUCGGGUUGUAAACCGCUUUCGCCUGUGACGAAGCGUGAGUGACGGUAAUGGGGAAAGAAGCACCGGCUAACUACGU